rnacentral:lncRNA from 1 species
GGGGACCGAGAAAGUGUAACAGUGCGAGUGAGCGAGAGAGAGGGGGGAAAGGACAGGACGAAAAAGAAAGAGCGGAGCGCCCAGCACAGCCAGAAGAGAAAUGCAAAAGAUGCAGAAUUGCAUAAGAUGCAGCAGAGCCCUGAGCCUUUCACUAACCUGGUAUCUAAAUUAAAGCCGUCUGCCAGCGUCUGAGCACCAGCAGCCACAGCAGCAGUGGCGGCGGCCGCAGCUGCCGUAAUACUGGUUACAGGCCCCCUGCACAAUAUAUUAGGUGAAAUGAAAGCAGCAGCAAGAGAGAGCGUGUCAGAGCUGUCUGAAGCAUCAUUCCAAAUGGAAAGAGUGAGCUCAACUCUCAGAAUUUCUCUCUCUGGGGACGGUGCCUUACUGUGUUUGCUCCAGAGCCACCUGUCUCUUCCUGAGGCUGGACCUCCUCACUUGGCCCUCCAGUUGCAGUGA